rnacentral:rRNA from 1 species
AGGAUCAUUACCGAGUUGAUUCGGGCUCCGGCCCGAUCCUCCCACCCUUUGUGUACCUACCUCUGUUGCUUUGGCGGGCCGCGGUCCUCCGCGGCCGCCCCCCUCCCCGGGGGGUGGCCAGCGCCCGCCAGAGGACCAUCAAACUCCAGUCAGUAAACGAUGCAGUCUGAAAAACAUUUAAUAAACUAAAACUUUCAACAACGGAUCUCUUGGUUCUGGCAUCGAUGAAGAACGCAGCGAAAUGCGAUAAGUAAUGUGAAUUGCAGAAUUCAGUGAAUCAUCGAAUCUUUGAACGCACAUUGCGCCCUUUGGUAUUCCGAAGGGCAUGCCUGUUCGAGCGUCAUUACAACCCUCAAGCUCUGCUUGGUAUUGGGCACCGUCCUUUGCGGGCGCGCCUCAAAGACCUCGGCGGUGGCGUCUUGCCUCAAGCGUAGUAGAACAUACAUCUCGCUUCGGAGCGCAGGGCGUCGCCCGCCGGACGAACCUUCUGAACUUUUCUCAAGGUUGACCUCGGAUCAGGUAGGGAUACCCGCUGAACUUAAGCAUAUCAAUAAGGCGGAGGAA